GGCUUCUUGGGGCCGACACCCUGUGCAGCUGUCCCUAAGGCCCGGCUGCCAGUCAAGCGACCUCGACCAGUAACACAGUUUUACCUCAGCAGCCAGGCCCAGCUCCUGGCAGGCCUUGUUUAAACAGGCAGCUCGAAACAGCUGGGGCUGGCUCAGUGGAGCGUGUUGGAAACCGAGCAAGGAUGCUCUGAGUGCAGGUGCCUGUCUCUGAAUGUGCAAUCAUGCAAAUCCAAGGACCAGAUUGACAUGCACUGAAGACCUGCUGUUCUGUUCCAAUAACUCAACCAUCUAUUGCCAGAGCAGCCCAGACACUGGCAGUCCUCGACUCCAAAUCAAGUGAGCAGUCCUGGUGAUGGAGGAAAGAAGUGUCGGGUGAAUCACAAUCAAGGCUCACUCCCUCUGGGCAGAUAGCAUCCACGAAAGGCUCAGCCACCUUCCUGGGGAGUGACUGUCAUCGGAAAUGGUUUGGAAGAUAGGAGGUGUUGCCAGAGGAGGUUGCCUUAUUGUGCUGUUACCCUGCUUGCAAUGCCCCCCAGUCCACUUGUUGCUGAGGGCCACACCUGGUUCACGUCUGCAUUUCUGGCCUCUAGCACAGGGCAUAUCCUGAACUUGGGAAAAGGUAGGUGAACAAAUGCGUAAAUGAACAAGAGGUCUGAAAACUACUUGUAGAUUGACUCUUCAUAGAAG
rnacentral:lncRNA from 1 species